rnacentral:rRNA from 1 species
CUUGGUCAUUUAGAGGAAGUAAAAGUCGUAACAAGGUUUCCGUAGGUGAACCUGCGGAAGGAUCAUUAAUGAAUUAAAGUCGGUCUUCUGUGCUGGUGGUGACACAUGUGCACGUUGAUCGCAAAUCCACACACCUGUGCACCUUUGACUUUAGGAUCCGCUUGUUGGCUUGUCUGACUUGCAGCUGAUGUUGGUUUUGUGCUCAUCUGGAUCUUAGAGUAAUUUUACACACUCUGAAUGUAAUGGAAUGUUCCUGUGCAUAAUGCGCAAAAUACAACUUUCAACAACGGAUCUCUUGGCUCUCGCAUCGAUGAAGAACGCAGCGAAAUGUGAUAAGUAAUGUGAAUUGCAGAAUUCAGUGAAUCAUCGAAUCUUUGAACGCACCUUGCACCCUUUGGUAUUCCAAAGGGUACACCCGUUUGAGUGUCAUUGUAAUCUCACUUCAUCAGCUUUGUUGAUGGAGGUGGACUUGGACUCUGUUGUGUCAUUACAACUGGUCUGAAAUGUGUGAGUGCACCCUGCUGUUGCAGCGUCCUCAGUGUGAUAAGCAUCUUCACUGAAUCAAGUUCCUUUGGGACACGUGUGUAAUGUGGGCUCUGUGCUGGCAAACUGUCUUUGGACAAUCUUGACAAUUUGACCUCAGAUCGGGUGGGACUACCCGCUGAACUUAAGCAUAUCAAUAAGCGGAGA